UACGAAGGGGGCUAGCGUUACUCGGAUUGACUGGGCGUAAAGGGCGCGUAGGCGGUUUGUACAGUCAGACGUGAAAUUCCUGGGCUCAACCUGGGGGCUGCGUUUGAUACGUGCGGACUUGAGUUCGGAAGAGGGUCGUGGAAUUCCCAGUGUAGAGGUGAAAUUCGUAGAUAUUGGGAAGAACACCGUGGCGAAGGCGGCGACCUGGUCCGAUACUGACGCUGAGGCGCGAAAGCGUGGGGAGCAAACAGG
rnacentral:rRNA from 1 species